UUAUGUCACAGUAAAAAAUAAAAAUUGAAAUAUUUACCUGACAAAAAUCAUCAAAAAUGCUGAUUUGGGAGAUUUGAAUCGCGAAAUUAAGCACUCUGUGACGUGCAAUUGUGCUAAUAGUGUACUUCCGAACGCGAAAUAACCACAUAAAAUAACAAUUAAAAUGAAUUCAACGAAAUAUUCCAUAGUGAAUAAUAAUGGCAGUCAAGCUGCUGGCUCCAAAAACAUGACAACAAAAUGGGAGAAAUUUUGUUUGUUAAUGUGGAAGAACUUCCUGCUGCAAUGGCGUCACAAAAUCCAAACGCUCCUCGAAAUUUUUAUUCCUGCCUUAUUCAGCAUGCUGGUUGUGAUGAUCCGAAGUCUCGUGGAUCCCGAUGUGUAUGACGAGGCGACAAUUUACAAGCCAUUGGGGCUCAGUAGCAUGCGUGAAUUGACAAAAAUUCCGAAAUUUCAGUUGAAAUUCUUCAAAGAAAUUAAUGAUCGCUUUAAGAAACAAGGUUUGGACAAUAUUAACUUUGAAAUGGUUUAUUCGCCGAAAAAUCCUGUGUUGGAAAAUUUCGUGCAACGAGUUAGGAAGAAUAUUUUUGACUUUCCCCUCAUUGGCGACGAGACAGUUAAGGGUUUGGAUAAUGCGACAGCUCUCGAAAGUUACAUGGUGAGCAAAAAUCCGUUGGUUGGACUUGAAAUGGAUGAUGCGUAUCAGAAUAUUACGCAGAUGCCGACUGUUUUGAAAUACGCAAUUCGACUUCCGGGUGAAUUACGGACGACUUUUGGGCCGAUGUGGGCAAAUUGGCGAACGGACUUUUUGUUUCCUUUUAUUCAACAAGGCGGCGCGAGGAAUAAAGAGUAUGAUGAUGGAGGAGUGCCGCCCGGAUAUUACAGAGAAUCCUUUUUGACAUUGCAAAAUGCCGUUUUUAAGACUUUUGCGAAUAUCACAGCUGGCGAUGCUAAUACCACACUGCCUGAGAAUUUUAUAAGACGUUUUCCGUACCCUCCAUUCACGGGCGACCCCUUAUUACAAGCCAUGGAACGAAUGCUGUCAAUUUUCAUCCUCCUGUCCUUCGUCUAUCCCUGCAUCAACAUGGUCAAAUUCAUCACAAUCGAGAAGGAAAAGCAACUUAAAGAGUCAAUGAAGAUCAUGGGCCUCCCAAAUUGGUUGCAUUGGAGUGCGUGGUUCGUCAAAUGCUUUAUUUACCUCUUUUUUGCCACACUCGUCAUGUUGGUUCUCAUGAAGGCGCAUUGGUAUUCCAACAUGAAUGUCACCGUUUUCACGCAUUCCGGCUUUUUCGUCUUGUGGUUCUACCUGAUGGUCUAUGGCGUGGCAACAAUCAUGUUUUGCUUCCUGCUUUCCGUGUUUUUUUCGAAAGCAAAUACCGCCGCAGCAGUCGCCGGGUUAUUAUGGUUCGUGACAUAUGCCCCGUUUUCGCUUACGAUUCAAAGGUACGACAGCGUCACUUUUGGUCAAAAAAUUGCAGCGAGUUUUUUCUCGAAUGCCGCUAUGGGAUUUGGAUUUUUGCUGAUUUUGCGACAUGAGGGCAACACCGAAGGCCUGCAAUGGAGCAAUUUGUUCGAACAAGUGAACAUUGAGGAUGACUAUACGGUUGGGCAUACUGUCGUAAUGAUGCUCGUGUCAUCCGUGAUUUACUUCGUGUUGGCAUUAUACGUCGAAAAAGUGCUGCCCGGCGAAUUUGGCGUCGCCGAACCGUGGUAUUUUCCGUUUACCCGAACGUUUUGGUGCGGCGAACCCGGAUUUCAAGGCAUUGAGGACAUAAAUUCGCCCGUUUUGAAUGGCGAGGAUGAAGUUGAUGUCGAAACCGAGCCAAUUGGGAAACAUGCGGGCAUUGAAACAAAAGGCCUGCGAAAAGUCUAUCGAAAUAAAAAGACAGCUGUUAAAGGAUUGACCUUGAAAAUGUUCGAUGAUGAGAUCACAGUGCUUCUCGGACACAAUGGCGCGGGAAAAACCACAACAAUGGCAAUGUUAACGGGAAUGAUACCCCCGACAGCGGGAAAUGCGAUCGUUAAUGGCUUCGAUAUCCGUAAAAAUUUGAAUGCCGUGAGGAAUUCGCUUGGAAUUUGUUUCCAACAUAACGUUUUGUUCGAUGAAUUGACAGUUGCGGAGCACAUUGAGUUCUUUGCGCGUCUAAAAGGACUCCGGAAACACGAAAUUAAGGACGAAAUUCAACAUUACGUUGAAUUAUUGCAAUUACAGGACAAAAUAAACGCCCAAGCUCAUACACUAUCCGGCGGGAUGCAACGAAAAUUGUCCAUUGGCAUCGCUUUGUGUGCGAAUUCGAAGGUUGUUUUGUGCGAUGAGCCCACUUCCGGUGUCGAUCCGAGUGCAAGACGUGCCUUAUGGGAUUUACUACUUGCCGAGAAGAAAGGACGAACGAUUUUGCUGAGUACGCAUUUUAUGGAUGAAGCGGAUAUCUUGGGGGAUCGCAUCGCGAUUAUGAACGAAGGCGCGUUAAAAGCUGUUGGAUCGCCAUUUUACUUGAAAAAACGCUAUGGAACGGGAUAUCGCUUGGUAAUUGCUAAAAAUAAGGCCUGUGAAACUCCAAAAGUCACGCAAUUGCUGCAAAAGUACGUCACAGAUAUUGAAGUUAAAACCGACAUCGGUAGUGAGCUGAGUUAUCAACUUUAUACAAAAGAUUCCGCCAUUUUUAAAGAUAUGCUGAAAGAUUUGGAGGAAAAUUCAGAAGAACUUAAACUCAACAGUUAUGGCAUCUCAAUGGCUACUUUGGAGGAAGUUUUCAUGUCAAUCGGUACGGAUGAACAAAAGAACGGAACUGCUGAAAAUGGCAAUGGGCACAUCCCAAAUGGACAUGCGACAGUUGUUGAUAUUGAAAAGAAGCUCGUGCCUGAAGUGGAUUUAGUUACAGGCUCAAAAUUGCUUCUUUAUCAAAUUCAAGGGUUGUUUGCGAAGAAAAUUUUGCAUACGAGACGACAUUUUGUUCUGAUGUUCUUGCAAAAUUUGAUUCCCGUCACUUUUUUGAUCAUUUGUAUUGUGAUAGUGCGUUCGUGGGGCGGCAAUAAGGAUCUGCCAGCGUUAAAUUUGGUGCCGGAAAAGUACGAUCCAACUGUCACGUUGCUCGAGCAGAAUAGUUCGUGGAGUUAUGAUGACUUUUCGAACAGCAUUAUCCUCUACUACCAGAAGCUAAUCCAGCGAAAUCCGUCGCAACAAGAAUUCAUCAAGGCUGGUCAAGACAUGAACGCUUAUUAUCUAAAGAUAUCCCGUGAAAAAAUCGCUCGUGUCAACAAACGUUACAUGUUCGGCGCAAGUAUCAACAAGUCUCACAUCACGGCAUGGUUCAACAAUCAACCGUAUCACACGGCACCCAUCAGCUUGGGAUUAGUGCAUAACGCAACGCUAAUGGCAUUGUGUGAAAAUGACACCUGCGGCAUCGAUAUCACGAACAAACCUCUCCCAUAUCGCCUGGAAACGCGUUUCGACAUGAUGCAGGCGGGCAACAACCUUGGAUUUCAACUGGCUUUUAACGUGGGUUUCGCAAUGUCAUUUGUGGCGGCGUUUUAUGUCAUCUUUUACAUCAAAGAACGGAUUUCGCGGAGCAAACUUUUGCAAUUUGUCAGUGGCGUGAAUAUCGCUUCGUACUGGAUCACGGGAUUUUUAUGGGAUUAUUUCACGUUUUUCUGCACGGCUGUCAUCUCGUUACUAACAAUUUUCGUUUUUCAAGAAACGGGAUGGUCGACAGUGCCCGAGAUGGGUCGAUGUUUGCUUGUGCUGAUGUGCUUCAUAUGGGCCGUGUUACCCUUCACUUACCUCGCUUCGUUGCUAUUUACCGCCCCCGCUACUGGAUUUACGCGUUUGAGCAUCAUUUACAUCUUUUCGGGAGUUGCCGUGUUCACAGUUGUCUUCACCAUGAGCUUCGAAGGAUUCAAAUUGAAAGACACCGCCGACUUAUUUACGAAUAUUUUCCUCAUUUUUCCACAUUUUGCCUUGAGUGACAGCUUAAGCAACUUAAAUAUCCUCAAUACGGUCAUCUCGGUGUGUGAUAAACGUUGCUCCUUACUCCCAAACUGCAAAAUGGAGGAACUCUGUAAGGCACAUCCGCUUUUCGCGCGUUGCUGUGAACGAAAUUUCUUCAAAUGGGACGAUCCCGGCAUCGGCAAGAACCUUUUUUACAUGAUCCUGACCGGAAUAACGACAUUUACGAUAUUGCUGAUGCACGAAUAUCGCAUUUUUGAGAUGAUUUUCUACAAAGGAGUGCAUUUAUACAAAGGACCACCGAUUCCCGAGACGGAGGACGACAUCCUCGAUCAAGAUGUGAAAGACGAAAAAAAUCGCAUUAACGCGAUGGAGCCCGAACAAAUCGUUUCAACGAAUUUAGUGCUGAAAAAUAUGACAAAAUUCUACAAUCGCUUAUUGGCUGUUAACCAAACUUGUGUCGGAGUCGCCGAAAAUGAGUGUUUCGGGCUGUUGGGCAUUAAUGGAGCCGGCAAGUCAAGUACCUUCAAAAUGCUCUGUGGAGACGAGAAAAUUUCGUAUGGCGAGGCUUAUGUGCAAGGCGCGAGUUUAAAGACGAAUAUGAAGGAGGUUUACAAGCGAAUUGGGUAUUGCCCGCAAUUUGAUGCGACAAUAGAUGAACUCACAGGACGAGAAACCUUGAGAAUUUUCUCGCUAUUCCGAGGAGUGCCGAAAAAUCGAAUUGAUGAAAUAACGUUGACCUUGGCGAAUGAGCUGAAUUACACAAGACAUUUGGAUAAAAAGGUCCGUGAGUACAGCGGAGGGAAUAAACGGAAGUUAAGUACGUCAAUAGCGCUCUUGGGACGCCCAAGUGUCAUCUUGUUGGAUGAACCAACUACAGGCAUGGAUCCGCUGGCUAAACGUAAUUUCUGGAAUGCAAUUUGUAAGAUACGGGAUCAAGGAAAGACAAUUGUACUUACUACUCAUAGUAUUGAAGAAGCAGAAGCCCUGUGUACUCGCCUUUGUAUAAUGGUAAAUGGCGAAUUCAAGUGCUUGGGUUCAUCCCAACAUCUCAAAAGCAAAUUCUCACAAGGAUACGUCCUCACAGUGAAAGUAGGGCGUAAAAGACAAUCGUCCCCGGAUCGUGCCUCGUCCUCUAUCAACAAUAACACCGAAAAUAGUACUUUAGUUUAUGAUUUAAUCGAAUUGAAUGCCAUUAAGGAGUUUGUUAAGACGAAAUUUCCUUUAUCGAUACUCAAAGAAGAGUAUCAAGGACUCCUAACGUACCAUAUUCCCUUAGCUGCCUUGAAAUGGUACGAGCUCUUUGGAAUUCUUGAAGAAGCAAAAAGUGAUGCAAGCCUAAAUAUUGAAGAUUAUUCAAUUGGACAAACGUCAAUGGAGCAAGUCUUUUUGUCGUUUACCAAGUAUCAACGGGAAGACAAUCUCGUCAAGUGAAAAUCACGAAAAAUCUCGAAUUUUUACUCGAAUUUAUGUUAAAUUAAUUAAAUUUUAAGAGUUACUGUGGGUAUUGAUAGGAACUGAUUUAAAAAUGAAAACAAACGUAUUGAAUUUUUUGUGAUAAUUUGAUGUAAAAAAUAAAAAAAAAACAGGUAUAACGUUUGAAUUAAUCCUAAUUUUAUGAAAAAUUGAAC